GCCGAGCUCAGUAAUGUGGGCUUGCAACCCAAAUGGGGGCAUCAAUGUGGUGGGAUGUUUGGCUGUCCCAGAUGGUUGGACUUGUCGGGCUGGUGUCUGGCCUGCCCUCUCCAAGCACAGAGUUGGAUCACGGGGUUUAAUCGAAAUAAUAGGCUUCUUGAUUCCUUAAGCGGGGUGAACUGCGUGAGGCUGGUUUCACAGAGCAACGAACAGAUCCUGCUCUGUGCAGUGGAAGGACAACGGGUUGGUGCCUUUCAAGUCCAGUAACGCCUGAUGGGCUGCUCCGAUUAAACCAUCACUUUU
rnacentral:SRP_RNA from 1 species